rnacentral:rRNA from 1 species
CCUACGGGAGGCAGCAGUGAGGAAUAUUGGUCAAUGGACGGAAGUCUGAACCAGCCAUGCCGCGUGCAGGAAGACGGCUCUAUGAGUUGUAAACUGCUUUUGUACAAGGGUAAACCUGAAUACGUGUAUUCAGCUGAAAGUACUGUACGAAUAAGGAUCGGCUAACUCCGUGCCAGCAGCCGCGGUAAUACGGAGGAUCCAAGCGUUAUCCGGAUUUAUUGGGGUUAAAGGGUGCGGAGGCGGAUUGAUAAGUUAGAGGUGAAAGGUUCGGGCUUAACUCGGGAACUGCCUCUAAUACUGUUGAUCUAGAGAGUAGAUGCGGUAGGCGGAAUGUAUGGUGUAGCGGUGAAAUGCUUAGAGAUCAUACAGAACACCGAUUGCGAAGGCAGCUUACCAAUCUAUAUCUGACGUUGAGGCACGAAAGCGUGGGGAGCAAACAGGAUUAGAUACCCUUGUAGUC